AAACUUAAAGGAAUUGACGGGACCCGCACAAGCAGCGGAGCGUGUGGUUUAAUUCGUUGCUACACGAAGAACCUUACCUGGGUUUGACAUAUAGGUUGUAGGGAACUGAAAAGGGACCGACCUUCGGGAGCCUAUACAGGUGUUGCAUGGCUGUCGUCAGCUCGUGUCGUGAGAUGUUCGGUUAAGUCCGCUAACGAGCGCAACCCUCGUCGUAUGUUAUAUGUGUCAUACGAGACUGCCGGUAAAAGCCGGAGGAAGGUGAGGAUGAUGUCAAGUCAGCAUGACCUUUAUAUCCAGGGCUACACACACGCUACAAUGGUCUGUACAAUGGGUAGCCAAGCCGCGAGGCGGAGCCAAUCCUGAAAGCAGGCCUCAGUUCAGAUUGCAGUCUGCAACUCGACUGCAUGAAGCCGGAGUUGCUAGUAACCGCAGGUCAGCAAUACUGCGGUGAAUACGUUCCCGGGUCUU
rnacentral:rRNA from 1 species